rnacentral:rRNA from 1 species
CAGCAGCCGCGGUAAUACGAAGGGGGCUAGCGUUGUUCGGAUUUACUGGGCGUAAAGCGCACGUAGGCGGAUGAUUAAGUCAGGGGUGAAAUCCCGAGGCUCAACCCCGGAACUGCCUUUGAUACUGGUCAUCUUGAGUCCGGGAGAGGUGAGUGGAACUGCGAGUGUAGAGGUGAAAUUCGUAGAUAUUCGCAAGAACACCAGUGGCGAAGGCGGCUCACUGGCCCGGUACUGACGCUGAGGUGCGAAAGCGUGGGGAGCAAACAGGAUUAGAUACCCCCGUAGUCCCUGUCUCUUAUAC